AGUGAACGCUGGCGGUAGGCCUAACACAUGCAAGUCGAACGGCAGCACAGGAGAGCUUGCUCUCUGGGUGGCGAGUGGCGGACGGGUGAGGAAUACAUCGGAAUCUACUUUUUCGUGGGGGAUAACGUAGGGAAACUUACGCUAAUACCGCAUACGACCUACGGGUGAAAGCAGGGGACCUUCGGGCCUUGCGCGAUUGAAUGAGCAGAUGUCGGAUUAGCUAGUUGGCGGGGUAAAGGCCCACCAAGGCGACGAUCCGUAGCUGGUCUGAGAGGAUGAUCAGCCACACUGGAACUGAGACACGGUCCAGACUCCUAAGGGAGGCAGCAGUGGGGAAUAUUGGACAAUGGGCGCAAGCCUGAUCCAACCAUACCGCGUGGGUGAAGAAGGCCUUCGGGUUGUAAAGCCCUUUUGUUGGGAAAGAAAUCCAGCUGGCUAAUACCCGGUUGGGAUGACGGUACCCAAAGAAUAAGCACCGGCUAACUUCGUGCCAGCCGCCGCCGUAA
rnacentral:rRNA from 1 species